rnacentral:lncRNA from 1 species
ACGGCCAGAACAACGGACGGCUCAGAUGAUGAGGAUAGUCGAACUCUAAUGAGGGUAUCAGCUGCUCUACAUUAUGAGGGGUGACUAAACUCAGCUGCUCUACCAUUGUGAGGGGUGACUAAAGUCAGCUACUAUAUUUUAUGAGGGAUGUCUAAAGUCAGUGGCUCUACAUUAUGAGGGGGACUUAAACUCAGUUGCUCUACAUUAUGAGUGGGUGACUAAAGUCAGCUAUCUAUAUUUUAUGAGGGGUGACUAA